rnacentral:rRNA from 1 species
CGGCGAACGGGUGAGUAACGCGUGGAUAACCUGCCCUGAGGUGGGGGAUAACCAAGGGAAACUUUGGCUAAUACCGCAUGAUACCGAGAGGUCAAAGGGGGCUCGCAAGAGCUCUCGCCAUAGGAGGGGUCCGCGUCCGAUUAGCUAGUUGGUAGGGUAAUGGCCUACCAAGGCGACGAUCGGUAGCCGGCCUGAGAGGGUGAUCGGCCACACUGGAACUGAGACACGGUCCAG